rnacentral:rRNA from 1 species
AUGGGGGAAGGUGAUGGUGAUGUUGGUGAAGACGACGGAGGUGUUGGUGUAGAUCGCGGUGAUGAUGAUGGUCCUUAUGGCACUCCGGCGCCACCGGAAGCGAGGGGGAGAGAGCCACCCUCCUUCUUCUUCUUCCUUGACCUUCUCCCUAGGUUGGAGAAGGGUUUCCCCUCUGGUCCAUGGUCUCCAUGGCAUCGUAGGGGUGAGAGCCCCUCCGAGAUUGGAUCUGUCUCCCUGUCUCUCUCUGUUUCUGCGUUCCAGAUUCUGCCCUUUCACCGUUUCUUAUAUUCCCACAGAUCUGUAACUCCGAUUGGACUGAAACUUUGA